AGUAUCAACACGAAGAACGUCAUAGAAAUGACACCUAUCAUGGAUGCCUUCCGUGUUUCCAUUCCUACUCCGCCAUAUCUGCUCAAACCGAGCAUUCUCUGCAGCAAUCUAAAUUAUUACCGAAGUCUCAACUUUGGUCAGGCGCUGUUCCUUUCUCUACAGGCAAAAACGAAAAGGAAUGAAGCCAUUAUACGAACAAAGGUCAAGAGAUCGAGAAUCUGGAAUUAGGACUAAGAGUCCUGAAAACAAAAACAAAAAAUGAAACAAUGUACAUUGUCUUUCUUGAAAGAAAUUUUCCGCUCCUCAAACUUUCCUUUACUGCCACUUUUGUCAUUAAGAUCAGACUC